AUGUGUUCCGAUUGCCGACCCAUAAAUGCUAUCACCGUUCGCUAUAGGCAUCUCAUUCCACGCCUUGACGAUAUGCUAGAUGAGCUUAGCGGAGCCACAGUUUUCUCUAAAAUUGAUCUUAAAAGUGGCUAUUACCAAAUUCGCAUUCAAGAGGAUGAUGAAUGGAAAACCGCUUUCAAAACCAAAUUUGGCUUGUAUGAGUGGUUAGUUAUGCCUAUGGGCUUAUCCGAAGCACCCGACACUUUCAUGCAUGUGAUGCAUUACAUUCUUCGCGAAUAUAUUGGCAUAUUUGCUGCGGUCUACUUUGAUGAUAUACUUGUGUUUAGCGAAUCUCUAGAAAAUCAUGUCACCCAUCUUAGAGCUGUUUUGCAAACUCUUAGAAACGAGCGCCUUUAUGCUAAUAUGGAGAAAUGCACAUUUGGUGUUGCCAAGCUUGUUUUCUUGGGUUUUGUUCCGUCUUCUAAGGGUGUUCAUGUAGACGAAGCUAAAAUUGAUGCUAUUAAAACUUGGCCACAACCAACCAACUUGCAACAAGUGUGUAGCUUCCUUGGCUUAGCCGGAUUUUAUCGUCACCUUGUGAAGGAUUUUAGCACCAUUGCACCCAUUGAAUAA
rnacentral:rRNA from 1 species